GGAUGGAUCACCCAAUUUAAAGACUAUUCUUCUUUUUUGGUAUUUAUAAUAAGUGUACUCAUGUUAAAUAAUAAUACACUAUUAUUUUGUUUAAAACUUACAUGUAGUAGAAGAUUUAGAUUUAUUAAUAUCAACCCCAAUUAAUGCUGCUUCGAAUAACCAUUCACCAAAAAGGUGAAGAAUACUGUUACACCGUGGUCGAUUUUCAGCAAAUAUUUUAGGUUCUAUAAUUAAAACAAUGAAUACAUUUAAAACCAUAUACAAUUAUUAUUUAUGAAACACUAGCAUUAAACAAAUAAUUAGUUUCAAUAUCAUAAAGACGUGUGCACUUAUUUGAGUUACACUAUUUCAAUAAUAAAAAACACAAUAAUUUACCUGAAAUUGUUGAUGACAUAGAAGUAUUUGAUGAUAAUUUAUGUGUCUGAGUACUAAUACGGCUAGUAGUUAAACCAACUAAAGAUGAUUUUGCAAUACCUGAUAAAAAUAAAAUAAUGUUUUUUCUAGCUACAUUAAUAUGAACAUAAAACCUUUUUACAAUUUUUAUUUUGUUUAAUAUAAAUAUAAUAAACUAAUUUAAUUAAUUUUUUUUAGAGGUAAUAGCCUUUAUAGCCUUUAAAGACUUCUUUCAAACAUAUUUAUUCCAUUUAUAGGAAGCUUCAUCACAUCUUCAUGGUAUCCCAGCUUCCAUCAGUCCUACAUCCCUUACUACACAAUCUUUCCAUCUUAGACGGGUCUAGUGGUUGAUUUCCUACUAGAUUCUCUGUGAUCACUAUUUUUCUUAUCAAUUCCUGCUCCACUACCUGUGUCUUAACAAAUCCAUUUUCCUCAUUUGUAUGCUUUAGUUAUACUAAGUGUUUAAUUAGAUUCUCGAGUUCAUAAUGUUUUUUCCUCUUUACAUUAGCUUGAGCAUCACUGCAUGGCCCAAAAAUCUUUUUAGGGAUUUUCCCUUCAACAACUUUCAAUCUAAUUUCAUCUGCCUUCCUGAACAGCCUUGUUUCUAAACCAUAUAACAUUACUGAGUACAUCAAAGUAAUUCAAAUCUGGAAUUAUAAAUUAUUGGAGAUUGCUUUUGAAUUUUAUACUUGGUUUCUUUAAUGUAGUCAUAUUUGUUUUUAUAUCAAGUAUAUGUAUACGAGAAUUCACAAAGAAUAAUCCUAUAUUUUAUAAUAAAACAAUAAACUAUUUAAAACAACAUAAAUAAAAAGUAUACCUGUUUUAUUUGUUUCUGUAAAUUUUAAUUUUCUAAUUUAAAUUUUAAAACUAUAUAAUAUUCUAAUUUGUUAUACACAUGUAUGUUAUAUGGUUGUUGAACAGUUGUAAACUUCUAAUAUCAACUCAUUACAAAAACUACAUUACACCAUAAAGAUUUUUUUUAAUAUAUACAUACAACUUAAAGAUAUUAGGUUAUUAUAAUUUUGUGACUUAUUAUAAUUAUAUACCCUUAUUGGUAAGUGAAGGUGCAACGCUAAAACUUUUAGCCAAUCGACGUUGCGAAGGCGGUGUAUGUGUUACUGCACUUGCUUCUUUUUUUUCCAAAGAGCUUCCUGAAGUCCAAGGUAAGACAUCAUCCCAAAUAAUAGUAGGAUGAGAAGCAAUGCCUAUUUUUAAAAUGUGCAUUUAUAUAUAUAUUUACAAAUUAAAUAGGUGCUAGUAUUAAUAGAUUUUUCUCAUCUCCCAGAAAAAGAAGAGUUUGAUUAAGAAAUAAAAUAAAGUAUAAUAAAUUCUUGCCUAAAAAUGCAUCUACAAGUGAUGCGAUCCCACGUAUAGCUACAUAAAAGUUGUAAGGUAAGACGUUUAAACAGGGGUGAACAGAUGGAUCUAUAAGUCUAUGAUUCGAGUCGGAGAGUGCUGCUUGAAGAAAUUUUGGAGUUCGACUAAUUGUCAUAGGCCGACUUAAAUCAACGGGAUUUCCAAUAGUUUGUAACAGUCGAAACCAACUUUGAGCAAUGGUAUGAUUAGACAUUCCGAGCGGUAUUAAGUGAGCAUCUUCGUUAGCUAAAUUAUAAAAUUGAUAUAAUUGAUAAAGGCUUUUAAAUAAAAAUGAAACAUAGUAUGUUUUAUGAGUAUACAAACGUAUUUUUAGCUGUGGAAAAUCUGGUCCAUACAUAAAUGUUAAUACACGGGCUGUAAGUGCUAAAUUUAUACGAUUCCAUUGAUGAAUUAAAGCUGUUCGAUGGCGCCAAGUAAUUGCCAUUUCUCGUAAUGUUUUCCAUAAAGAUGGCGAAGGAAAACAACGUACACAAGCUACAAGCCAUACUUCUAUGAGAACGCUAAGAACUCGUUCACAUAAUUCCUCUCCGACAUCCUCUGUUAAAUUCAUUAUAAAUAAUAAGUCUAAGAACUAUUUAUUACAUUGUAUAAUAAAACAAAUAAUGCCUUUAACUGUGGGUGGAGCUAAUAAAGCAUCAUUUAUUGCGAGAAGAAAUAGCAGUAAAGCUUCCCAAGUUUCUUGGUCAAUGAUUUUAGAUGUUCGAGAUAAAUCAUGUAAUGUCCGUAAAACACGAUGACACAAAACAGCUUGGCGGUUUAUUGUAUCAGUACCUUCACAAAAAUAAAUUAAAUAUUUUAAAAUAUUUUAAUAAUAAAAACUGUUAAUCUGAAAGUUUAUAAUUUAAAAAUAAAGACGUCUUGAAGAUUAAAUUAUUUUAAAUGAUGAAGAUAUGAGAUAUUAUCCACACAUUCAUUUUAUCUCUUUAAAAUAAAAAAAUCUCCAUAAGACAUUCUGUUAUGUAUGAAUAAUAAAUUUAACAAAAACAUCAUUAUUAUAUAUUUCAUUUGAUCCUUACCGAUAUUUAAAUAUAAAAAUGUCCAGACUUGUAACAAAGAUCAAAAUAAAUACACUAUUUUAUUCUAAGUAUUAUUGGUUAAAACAAUUAUUAUAAUAAUUAUAAUUAGAUGAAAACACCUGUAUUAAAUAUUAUAAUAAUCUUAAUGCAAUAAGACAAAUUGAUUCACCUUCACCUUUUCUGGGUACAAAUAAAUUAUAAAAAUGUGAAAUUAUUUUUCUAGCAUAUAAAUUUGGAUCAUUGCAAACCGGUUUUGGAACCGAUACUUUUGGUGUUUCAUAUAAGGCUGAAAGCCAAUCACAAUAAAUAUGUACGCAAUCUCUAAUUGUAUCAUGCUCAGACAAUGGCAAACUUAAACCAUAACAAAUAACCUAAAACAGAUAGGUAUACAGAUCAGUAUACAUAAAAAUAUUUUAUUUUCUGUUUUAAAAUUUACUAACUUCCAUGCACCAGGUCACUUCAUUGUCUCUAGAAAGUUUGCUUGGUUCAGGUGGAUGUGUUAUUCCUAAAUUUGAUGACAGUUGUUUAAUUACAGACAAUACAACUUCUUUGCAUGAACCAGCUGGAAACUUGUUCAAGACACUUUGACCAAAUUCACCACAGUUUUGAACUGUUGAACUUAGCGAUGCCCAUUCACAAUACAUACCUGAACGUCCUCCAGAGCCCUCCUAUAAAAUGGAAAAAUCUAUAAUUGCAUAGAUAUCGUUAAAAAAAAAAAAACAACACAGAGUUCAUUAAUUUGCAACCUGACUUAACCUAGUCUGUUAUUUUGUUUUAAAUAAAUAAAUGGGCCUUUACUACAAGAUGUAUGCAUGAAUCAAAUUAACAUACAACGGCAAACAACAGAUAAGUUUACAGUUAAAUUAUUACAUUGAAUUACAACAAAUUAUUAGUUAUUACAAUACUAUACUGAGUACUUAGUUGUAAGAAGAAGGGAUCCACAUUAGUGAGAGACAUAAAUCACCCAAGUAGUUAGAAGUAUAGCAAGGAAUAAGGAAGGGAACAGUAGUUCUCGUAGUUCGCAGAGUAAAAUUGUAGUUGACCAAUGCGACUGGGCUGGAGGAAUCAUUUUUAUUUUCCAAUAUUCCCUUUAAUAAGAACUCAUGGAAUGCUUACGCAAUACGCACUACAAAGGAAACUAGAUUGAGCAAAUAUUAACUGGAGCAUAAUCAUGAGGAUCGCAAGGUAUGUUCAAUAAAUGAUUUUAGAAUCUCAGGCAUUAGACCCUUUAAAUCUGACUAAAAUUAUCAACAGUAUAAGGUUUCCAGAGGACCACUCUAUUACAAAUGGGUUAUUUAUGUUAAUGGUAUUGCUUACUUGUCAAUUAAAAUCAUAUUUUAUAUUACUAGGUAUUAAGUUUAAAACUUAUUAACUGAACUAAUAGAUGAUACAAAAAAUAUUUCUAAAAACAAAUUACCUAUAAGAGUUCAAAAAGAAAAAAAAUGCUUUUAUACUCUUCUUACAAUUUUUUUGGUUUAGUAAGUUCACCAAACUGAAAAAUUAAAAAUUAAAUAUCUAAUAUACACCUUUAUGGUAGAUAAUAUGUCUGAGCUAUGUGUUUAUAAAUUACAAGACAUUUUUACAACUAAACAUUUUCUAAGAAAAUCUCAUUCCAAGUGUUACAAAUUGGUAAUUUAUGUAUUACGUAUUAUACUAUUAUUUAUAUAGAUAUUUAUAAAGAUAUCAUAUUCCAAUGUAUAUACUAACAUGUAAUUGUAAUGUUAUAAAUGGAUUAUGUUUAUUAAAUUUUGCAUACAUAUAUAAACAUAUAAUGCUAAAUUAGUUGUUGAGUUUAAUUAACUGUAUAGAUACACAAAUCAAAAUUCAUACCUUCCAGUUCACUCUGUUAAAUACUUCUAAAUUCAUAUGUCAAAAAUAUUGAACAUUGGUUACUCAAAUGUUUAUUAAAGUAUGUUAAACAUACUCUUCUGUCUGUAACUCUU
rnacentral:lncRNA from 1 species